rnacentral:rRNA from 1 species
AACGCGAAGAACCUUACCAAAUCUUGACAUCCUCUGACCCCUCUAGAGAUAGAGUUUUCCCCUUCGGGGGACAGAGUGACAGGUGGUGCAUGGUUGUCGUCAGCUCGUGUCGUGAGAUGUUGGGUUAAGUCCCGCAACGAGCGCAACCCUUAAGCUUAGUUGCCAUCAUUAAGUUGGGCACUCUAAGUUGACUGCCGGUGACAAACCGGAGGAAGGUGGGGAUGACGUCAAAUCAUCAUGCCCCUUAUGAUUUGGGCUACACACGUGCUACAAUGGACAAUACAAAGGGCAGCGAAACCGCGAGGUCAAGCAAAUCCCAUAAAGUUGUUCUCAGUUCGGAUUGUAGUCUGCAACUCGACUAUAUGAAGCUGGAAUCGCUAGUAAUCGUAGAUCAGCAUGCUACGGUGAAUACGUUCCCGGGUCUUGUACACACGC